GACGAACGCUGGCGGCGGGCUUAACACAUGCAAGUCGAACGGAAAGGCCCUGCUUUUGUGGGGUGCUCGAGUGGCGAACGGGUGAGUAACACGUGAGUAACCUGCCCUUGACUUUGGGAUAACUUCAGGAAACUGGGGCUAAUACCGGAUAGGAGCUCCUGCUGCAUGGUGGGGGUUGGAAAGUUUCGGCGGUUGGGGAUGGUCUCGCGGCUUAUCAGCUUGUUGGUGGGGUAGUGGCUUACCAAGGCUUUGACGGGUAGCCGGCCUGAGAGGGUGACCGGCCACGUUGGGACUGAGAUACGGCCCAGCCUCCUCCGGGAGGCAGCAGUGGAGAAUAUUGCACAAUGGGCGGAAGCCUGAUGCAGCACCGCCGCGUGCGGGAUGACGGCCUUCGGGUUGUAAACCGCUUUCGCCUGUGACGAAGCGUGAGUGACGGUAAUGGGUAAAGAAGCACCGGCUAACUACGUG
rnacentral:rRNA from 1 species